rnacentral:rRNA from 1 species
CGCGUAGGCGGUUUACACAGUCAAAUGUGAAAUCCCCGAGCUUAACUUGGGAAUUGCAUUCGAUACUGGUUGGCUAGAGUAUGGGAGAGGAUGGUAGAAUUCCAGGUGUAGCGGUGAAAUGCGUAGAGAUCUGGAGGAAUACCGAUGGCGAAGGCAGCCAUCUGGCCUAAUACUGACACUGAGGUGCGAAAGCAUGGGGAGCAAACAGGAUUAGAUACCCCAGUA